GUCAUGCGGGAACAAGAAAGUGAUAGUACCGCAAGAGGAAGGGACGGCUAACUCUGUGCCAGCAGCCGCGGUAAUACAGAGGUCCCGAGCGUUGUUCGGAUUCAUUGGGCGUAAAGGGUGCGUAGGUGGCGAUGUAAGUCUGGUGUGAAAUCUCAGGGCUCAACCUUGAAAUUGCAUUGGGAUACUGCGUUGCUUGAGGAUUGUAGAGGAGAGUGGAAUUCACGGUGUAGCAGUGAAAUGCGUAGAUAUCGUGAGGAAGACCAGUUGCGAAGGCGACUCUCUGGGCAAUUCCUGACACUGAGGCACGAAGGCCAGGGGAGCAAACGGGAUUAGAUACCCCGGUAGUCCUGGCAGUAAACGGUGCACGUUUGGUGUGGGCGGGUUCAGACCCCGUCCGUGCCAGAGCUAACGCGUUAAACGUGCCGCCUGGGAAGUACGGUCGCAAGAUUA
rnacentral:rRNA from 1 species